UACCGUGCGAGUCGAGUGGUAACAGAUCCAGCUUGCUGGAUGCUGACGAGCGGCGGACGGGUGAGUAAUGCAUAGGAAACUGCCCAGUAGUGGGGGAUAGCCCGGGGAAACCCGGAUUAAUACCGCAUACGCCCUACGGGGGAAAGCAGGGGCUCUUCGGACCUUGCGCUAUUGGAUGUGCCUAUGUCGGAUUAGCUUGUUGGUAGGGUGAUGGCCUACCAAGGCGACGAUCCGUAGCUGGUCUGAGAGGAUGAUCAGCCACAUCGGGACUGAGACACGGCCCGAACUCCUACGGGAGGCAGCAGUGGGGAAUAUUGGACAAUGGGGGCAACCCUGAUCCAGCCAUGCCGCGUGUGUGAAGAAGGCUUUCGGGUUGUAAAGCACUUUCAGUGAGGAGGAAGGCCUUAAGGUUAAUACCCUUGAGGAUUGACGUUACUCACAGAAGAAGCACCGGCUAACUCCGUGCCAGCAGCCGCGGUAA
rnacentral:rRNA from 1 species